UUGGAUGAGGAGCUCUCA
rnacentral:siRNA from 1 species